UAAGGAAUAUUGGUCAAUGGGCGGAAGCCUGAACCAGCCAUGCCGCGUGCAGGAUGACUGCCCUAUGGGUUGUAAACUGCUUUUGUCCAGGAAUAAACCUUUCUACGUGUAGGAAGCUGAAUGUACUGGAAGAAUAAGGAUCGGCUAACUCCGUGCCAGCAGCCGCGGUAAUACGGAGGAUCCGAGCGUUAUCCGGAUUUAUUGGGUUUAAAGGGUGCGUAGGCGGCCUAUUAAGUCAGGGGUGAAAUACGGUGGCUCAACCAUCGCAGUGCCUUUGAUACUGAUGGGCUUGAAUCCAUUUGAAGUGGGCGGAAUAAGACAAGUAGCGGUGAAAUGCAUAGAUAUGUCUUAGAACUCCGAUUGCGAAGGCAGCUCACUAAGCUGGUAUUGACGCUGAUGCACGAAAGCGUGGGGAUCACAGGAUUAGAUACCCUGGUAGUCCACGCCCUAAACGAUGAUAACUCGAUGUUGGCGAUAGACAGCCAGCGUCCAAGCGAAAGCGUUAAGUUAUCCACCUGGGGAGUACGCCCGCAAGGGUGAAACUCAAAUGAAUUGACGGGGUCAUAGCUGUUUCCCU
rnacentral:rRNA from 1 species